rnacentral:rRNA from 1 species
AGUGAACGCUGGCGGUAGGCCUAACACAUGCAAGUCGAACGGCAGCACAGUAAGAGCUUGCUCUUACGGGUGGCGAGUGGCGGACGGGUGAGGAAUACAUCGGAAUCUACUUUUUCGUGGGGGAUAACGUAGGUAACUUACGCUAAUACCGCAUACGACCUACGGGUGAAAGCAGGGGAUCUUCGGACCUUGCGCGAUUGAAUGAGCCGAUGUCGGAUUAGCUAGUUGGCGGGGUAAAGGUCCACCAAGGCGACGAUCCGUAGCUGGUCUGAGAGGAUGAUCAGCCACACUGGAACUGAGACACGGUCCAGACUCCUACGGGAGGCAGCAGUGGGGAAUAUUGGACAAUGGGCGCAAGCCUGAUCCAGCCAUACCGCGUGGGUGAAGAAGGCCUUCGGGUUGUAAAGCCCUUUUGUUGGGAAAGAAAAGCAGCAGGUUAAUACCCCGCUGUUCUGACGGUACCCAAAGAAUAAGCACCGGCUAACUUCGUG